UGAAUGAAGAAUGCAACUUACAGUCUUAAACGAGUUGAAUGAAGCAAAGCAACACGAAGUCAGCACUCCUCGCUGUUUUCUGCCAGAGGAAAACAAAACGACAAACGGCGUAGGAACAGUGAAUUCAAUUAAACAAGGGAGUGACAUUAAUAACUAAGCAGCUAGUAUUAACUAUUGCCAUGCUGAACUGUUUGUAACACUUAUUUAAACUGAAACUGAAACAGGCGCUGAAUACUGACUUCUAAAUCAAUUACGAGUUCAAGCCAGUCCCGAUUUUGUAUCCUUAACACAGUAUUAACAAUGAAACCAAUACUAAACCAUACUAUGUCUAUAACUAAUAAUCACGAAUUAACAGUCCUAAGGAGUCCAAUUUAAGUGAAAAUUUAACAAAUAUCAUACCUCUCACAUGAAUGAGCAAGGACAUGUAAUCAAUCCACAUAAAAGAUAUGUUUUAAGAGCAACGAAUUACAAGAGCGAAUUCUCGUUAAAGAUAUAUUUUAAAAAAAAGAUUAAAAGGAAAUACGAAACUAGAUGAAAAUAAAGAAACAUCAAUUCCUUCCCCUAAAAGGAAAUACAGAAAAUAAGGCAUAUUUCUCAAGUGUGCAGUGUGAGCGCACAAACACACAUAUAAAGUGCAGAGCUUUACAAGAUUUGGCUGCACAACACAGCCAAUUUCCCCAAAUACUGCACAGCUAAAGCCAUACCCUUUCUGUUGAACAAGCUUUGAGCAGCAAAAGUUGAAUCAUCUUCCAGGAACAUAUGACAAUAUGAGGAAGCUUACCUGAAAUAUGAGGAAGACUGAAGAACCGAAGAAGAUCGAAGAAGAAGCUGCGCAGCGCAGGAAGGGUUUGCGUUAGGGUUAGGCUUUUUAUUAUUCGGUAUUAUGUAAUUGUAUAGCAGUAUAUAUAUAAGCUAAAAAUUAGGUUAGGCAAGGCUGGCAAGCAGCGAAGAGCUAAGGAUAGGGUAGUCAUAUUAUUAUAAAAUAAGGGUAUAUUUGUCUUUGUAAUAUAUCUUAUCGAUUUAUCGAUAAACCGAUA
rnacentral:lncRNA from 1 species